AUUUAAGUGGCUUAUUUAGAGCUUUGUGCUGAAGACACAGUGGUGAGAUCUUAUUUCUCCUUAAAUA
rnacentral:tRNA from 1 species